UUUACAUCAUCUUUAAAUAUUUUUUUCAAACUUACAAAUACUACCGCUGUUCUAUAUAAUUUGGUUGAUCUUUAUGUCACAUUUGGCGCCCCAUACCCGUUCCUCGUGUUCUAAAUCACAUAUAGCGAGAGUUCUAAAUUUUAGAACGUCGGAUAUAUGUGACAGAGGUGAUCACCUAAACAACCUGACGGCCGAUUUAUUUAAGGUGGCUGCUUGCCUUAUAUUGCGCUGUUCUAUCGCCAAUAUGGCUACUGAUAGAGCAGGUUAUGAUGUUUUAAGCGAUGAGCAAAAGUCUCUCCUGAGGAGGUUUUAUGAGGAUGGCAUGAAAACAACUUCUAAACAAAUGCAGGAAAGAAUAGCCCGUGCUGCUGACGUGGUAGGAGUAAGCUAUCAAACAGUUAAGGUAACGUUUCACUUUAACUCUUUUUUAUUGCACGAAAUCAGUGAAUCAGUAUUACUGAGUCUCGGGAUAAAUGUUUAGCUUGCUGCCUACCAAACCGGUCAGUUCUUAUCGACAAAAUGAAGAUUCGAUGAAUAUCGUUUCUAUUUCAUACUGAUAUUUGCAAAUACAUUUGCAUAUAUAAAUAUAAUUCGUAGACAUUAUUUCCAUAUCAUUUCCAUAUCACACGCACGUAUAUUUAUCAUUCAUUACUAAAAUUCUAAAUACGUAUUUAUGGCUGACAGUGACAUAUAAAUAUACAAGUGAGCUAUAUCGUCCAGCAGUCCCUUCUCAGGAAUAUAAUAUUUUUGGCAAACAAUGAAUACUGCCGGUGGGAACAAUCAACAUAUAGUUUAUAUUUAUUCUUUGUUGUGUCAAUGGACAGAAAUGUUUGUGUGGCUUGUUGAUAUUAUAUUAUAAUCUAUUACAAUAUAAUAUUUAAUAUAAGGUGAAGGAACUGCCUUACUGGUUCUGUGGUUCUCAUUAUUUCGAGUAAAACUAUAUAAUUGUAUAUUAUAGCAUUUUAUUUAAAUAUUUAACAUUUACACUGUUUUGGUUCAUCAGGCUGAGUUUUAUUUUGAAGGAUAUUAUGUAGAGAUGUAUAAACAUAUUGAUAAAUCAGAUUGAUAUAACAUAUUACAUACACUAACAUUUACUGUAUUGCAGAAGUGGAUUGGGAAUGAAAGGAUGAGACGAAAAAGGAAAGAAAUUGGAGAGACUAGUAAUUCUGUUCAAACUGAAGCCCUGCCUGCCAAAUACCCUGCAAAGCGGGUAACAUCGGGCUAUAACAUGUUUUCAUCUAAAAUCCUUGGCUCUGGUCAAUUGAAUCUAAGGCAGAGAAAAUGAGCUUGGUUGCUUCAAAGUGGAAUCUCUAAGUGACAAUGAAAAAAGUGUUUGGCGAGACGAGGCAAAGAAAUGUGAAAGUGCACCAACAAUGCUUACGUCAGAAGAAAAACGAAAGCAAAUUGUAAAGAGCAGGAAAAACCUUAUUAAAGAGCUUAUGUAUCUUGAAAGCCUUGGAUGUGAGACAGCAGUUGUGAUGUAUGACUCUGAAACUAGGACUGUCAAUCAAUAUGGGUCAGCAAAAGGUGCACAGUUUCUGAUGGCAAAUGAAACAAUUCCUUUAAAGUUUAUGAACUUUUUUGAUGCAGCAAACAGUAAAGUACACAAAAAAGUACACCAACAGUGAUGUCAGAGACUUGUUUAAUAAGAAGUACAGUGAAGCCUGUGGGGAACCUGGAUCCCGUGUGCCAUAUCUAAAUGGACGUUUCAGUGUAACUGGCCUUCCGGAUGGUGUGGAAUUCUCUAAGCCGAACAAUUAUGGGGAAGACAAAAUAAAAAAAAAAUGAGAUGUCAAGAGAGCAUAGCUUUCCAUAUCGAGGAAAAAGCACAGAAUCAGGUGGUGACAUGGCUAAAGAUGGAAUUGGAAUACUAGAUAAAGAACUACCGGGUGGCGCAAAAAAAAGUUAACCUGUUUGAUUGAGUAUAACUUCAAAAUUAAA
rnacentral:lncRNA from 1 species